rnacentral:rRNA from 1 species
GCCCUUUUCCGGUUGAUCCUGCCGGAGGCCAUUGCUAUCGGUGUCCGAUUUAGCCAUGCGAGUUGUACGUUCAACGUAGCAAACUGCUCAGUAACACGUGGCCAAACUGCCCUAUGGACUGGGAUAACCUCGGGAAACUGAGGCUAAUCCCGGAUAGCACAUCCAGCCUGGAACUGGCGGAUGUGUGAAAUGCUCCGGCGCCAUAGGAUGUGGCUGCGGCCGAUUAGGUAGACGGUGGGGUAACGGCCCACCGUGCCGAUAAUCGGUACGGGUCAUGAGAGUGAGAGCCCGGAGACGGACUCUGAGACACGAGUCCGGGCCCUACGGGGCGCAGCAGGCGCGAAACCUUUACACUGCACGCCAGUGCGAUAGGGGGACACCGAGUGCGAGGGCAUAGAGCCCUCGCUUUUGUAGACCGUAAGGAGGUCUACGAAUAAGGGCUGGGCAAGACCGGUGCCAGCCGCCGCGGUAACACCGGCAGCCCAAGUGAUGGCCGAUAUUAUUGGGCCUAAAGCGUCCGUAGCUGGCCGCGCAAGUUCGUCGGGAAAUCCACUCGCUUAACGAGUGGGCGUCCGGCGAAAACUGUGCGGCUUGGGACCGGAAGAUCCAAGGGGUACGUCCGGGGUAGGAGUGAAAUCCCGUAAUCCUGGACGGACCACCGAUGGC